GGGCGCGUAGCUCAGCGGGAGAGCACCGCCUUCACACGGCGGGGGUCACAGGUUCAAUCCCUGUCGCGCCCACCA
rnacentral:tRNA from 1 species